UAUUGGUCAAUGGAGGCAACUCUGAACCAGCCAUGCCGCGUGCAGGAAGACUGCCCUAUGGGUUGUAAACUGCUUUUAUACGGGAAUAAACCUACCCUCGAGAGGGUAGCUGAAUGUACCGUAAGAAUAAGGAUCGGCUAACUCCGUGCCAGCAGCCGCGGUAAUACGGAGGAUCCAAGCGUUAUCCGGAUUUAUUGGGUUUAAAGGGAGCGUAGGCGGCCUAUUAAGUCAGGGGUGAAAGACGGCAGCUUAACUGUCGCAGUGCCUUUGAUACUGAUAGGCUUGAAUGUAGUUGAGGUGGGCGGAAUGUGACAAGUAGCGGUGAAAUGCAUAGAUAUGUCACAGAACACCGAUUGCGAAGGCAGCUCACUAAGCCAACAUUGACGCUGAGGCACGAAAGCGUGGGGAGCGA
rnacentral:rRNA from 1 species